GUUCCGUAGGUGAACCUGCGGAAGGAUCAUUAUUGAAUGAAACACUUCUGGCUUUAUGCUGUUGUGCUGGCCCUUUGGGCAAUGUGCACACGGCUCUGGUCACUUGUUUCUUCUGUUCCACCUGUGCACUGCCUGUAGACACGCUGUGUCUAUGAUAUUUGUUAACACACAACAAUGUUAGUUGGCAUGUUAUAUAUAAUAAUAAAAUAUACAACUUUCAACAACGGAUCUCUUGGCUCCC
rnacentral:misc_RNA from 1 species